UACGUAGGGAGCAAGCGUUGUCCGGAAUCAUUGGGCGUAAAGCGCGCGUAGGCGGCCCCGUAAGUCCGCUGUGAAAGUCAAAGGCUCAACCUUUGAAAGCCGGUGGAUACUGUGGGGCUAGAGUCCGGAAGAGGCGAGUGGAAUUCCUGGUGUAGCGGUGGAAUGCGCAGAUACCAGGAGGAACACCAAUAGCGAAGGCAGCUCGCUGGGACGGUACUGACGCUAAGGCGCGAAAGCGUGGGGAGCGAACAGG
rnacentral:rRNA from 1 species